GAGUUUGAUCGUGGCUCAGGAUGAACGCUGGCGGCGUGCUUAACACAUGCAAGUCGAACGGGAAUUACUUUAUUGAAACUUCGGUCGAUUUAAUUUAAUUCUAGUGGCGGACGGGUGAGUAACGCGUGGGUAACCUGCCUUAUACAGGGGGAUAACAGUCAGAAAUGACUGCUAAUACCGCAUAAGCGCACGGAACCGCAUGGUUCUGUGUGAAAAACUCCGGUGGUAUAAGAUGGACCCGCGUUGGAUUAGCUUGUUGGUGAGGUAACGGCUCACCAAGGCGACGAUCCAUAGCCGGCCUGAGAGGGUGAACGGCCACAUUGGGACUGAGACACGGCCCAGACCU
rnacentral:rRNA from 1 species